UGGGGAAUAUUGCACAAUGGGCGCAAGCCUGAUGCAGCCAUGCCGCGUGUAUGAAGAAGGCCUUCGGGUUGUAAAGUACUUUCAGUCGGGAGGAAGGUGGUAAGGUUAAUAACCUUAUCAAUUGACGUUACCGACAGAAGAAGCACCGGCUAACUCCGUGCCAGCAGCCGCGGUAAUACGGAGGGUGCAAGCGUUAAUCGGAAUUACUGGGCGUAAAGCGCACGCAGGCGGUCUGUCAAGUCGGAUGUGAAAUCCCCGGGCUCAACCUGGGAACUGCAUUGGAAACUGGCAGGCUAGAGUCUUGUAGAGGGGGGUAGAAUUCCAGGUGUAGCGGUGAAAUGCGUAGAGAUCUGGAGGAAUACCGGUGGCGAAGGCGGCCCCCUGGACAAAGACUGACGCUCAGGUGCGAAAGCGUGGGGAGCAAACAGG
rnacentral:rRNA from 1 species